AAAAGGUGGCUAUGCUACCGCUUUUGGAUGGGCCCGCGGUGCAUUGGCUAGUUGGUGGGGUAAAGGCUUACCAAGGCAAUGAUGCGUAGCCGAACUGAGAGGUUGAUCGGCCACAUUGGGACUGAGACACGGCCCAAACUCCUACGGGAGGCAGCAGUAGGGAAUCUUCCACAAUGGGCGAAAGCCUGAUGGAGCAACGCCGCGUGGGUGAAGAAGGUCUUCGGAUCGUAAAACCCUGUUGUUAGAGAAGAAAGUGCGUGAGAGUAACUGUUCACGUUUCGACGGUAUCUAACCAGAAAGCCACGGCUAACUACGUGCCAGCAGCCGCGGUAAUACGUAGGUGGCAAGCGUUAUCCGGAUUUAUUGGGCGUAAAGGGAACGCAGGCGGUCUUUUAAGUCUGAUGUGAAAGCCUUCGGCUUAACCGGAGUAGUGCAUUGGAAACUGGGAGACUUGAGUGCAGAAGAGGAGAGUGGAACUCCAUGUGUAGCGGUGAAAUGCGUAGAUAUAUGGAAGAACACCAGUGGCGAAAGCGGCUCUCUGGUCUGUAACUGACGCUGAGGUUCGAAAGCGUGGGUAGCAAACAGGAUUAGAUACCCUGGUAGUCCACGCCGUAAACGAUGAAUGGUAAGUGUUGGAGGGUUUCCGCCCUUCA
rnacentral:rRNA from 1 species